GCGCAGCAGUCGCGAAAACUCCGCAAUACGCGAAAGCGUGACGGGGCUACCCCGAGUGCCGUCCGCUGAGGACGGCUUUUCUCCUCUGUAAGAAGGCGGGGGAAUAAGGAGAGGGCAAGUCUGGUGUCAGCCGCCGCGGUAAUACCAGCUCUCCGAGUGGUAGGGACGAUUAUUGGGCUUAAAGCGUCCGUAGCCGGCUCAGCAAGUCUCCGGUUAAAUCCAACGAUUCAAUCGUUGGACUGCGGGAGAUACUGUUGAGCUAGGAGGCGGGAGAGGCCGACGGUAUUCCCGGAGUAGGGGUGAAAUCCUAUAAUCCCGGGAGGACCACCAGUGGCGAAGGCGGUCGGCUAGAACGCGCUCGACGGUGAGGGACGAAAGCUGGGGGAGCGAACCGGAUUAGAUACCCCGGUAGUCC
rnacentral:rRNA from 1 species